CGGACGGGUGAGUAAUGUCUGGGAAACUGCCUGAUGGAGGGGGAUAACUACUGGAAACGGUAGCUAAUACCGCAUAACGUCGCAAGACCAAAGAGGGGGACCUUAGGGCCUCUUGCCAUCGGAUGUGCCCAGAUGGGAUUAGCUAGUAGGUGGGGUAACGGCUCACCUAGGCGACGAUCCCUAGCUGGCUGAGAGGAUGACCAGCCACACUGGAACUGAGACACGGUCCAG
rnacentral:rRNA from 1 species